UACGAAGGUGGCUAGCGUUGCUCGGAAUCACUGGGCGUAAAGCGCACGUAGGCGGAUCGUUAAGUCAGGGGUGAAAUCCUGGAGCUCAACUCCAGAACUGCCUUUGAUACUGGCGACCUUGAGUUCGGGAGAGGUGAGUGGAACUGCGAGUGUAGAGGUGAAAUUCGUAGAUAUUCGCAAGAACACCAGUGGCGAAGGCGGCUCACUGGCCCGAUACUGACGCUGAGGUGCGAAAGCGUGGGGAGCAAACAGG
rnacentral:rRNA from 1 species